rnacentral:rRNA from 1 species
UACGUAGGGUGCAAGCGUUGUCCGGAAUUAUUGGGCGUAAAGAGCUCGUAGGCGGUGUGUCGCGGCGGUCGUGAAAACUUGGGGCUUAACUCUGAGCUUGCGGUCGAUACGGGCAUCACUGGAGUUCGGCAGGGGAGACUGGAAUUCCUGGUGUAGCGGUGAAAUGCGCAGAUAUCAGGAGGAACACCGGUGGCGAAGGCGGGUCUCUGGGCCGAUACUGACGCUGAGGAGCGAAAGCGUGGGGAGCGAACAGG